rnacentral:rRNA from 1 species
GUCGAGCAUGUGGCUUAAUUUGACCCAACGCGGGAAAUCUUACCGGGUCCGGACACACUGAGGAUUGACAGGCAAUCGUUCAUUCCAUUAAAUUUUUAAUUUAUUGCGAGAGAUCUCUAAAUAUGAUACCCCUUUCGUGAAUAUGUGAUAGGGGGCGCGUGCGCGCUCAUAUCUCGGGGAGAGAUGUGUGUGCUUAUGUGCGUUUCAAUAGGGCUAUAUAUAAAUAACGUGCGUGUGAAAGCACUUUGACCCCUCGUGUGUGUCUGUGAUAUUUCAUCUCAAUGUGAUAGCGCGCGUCUCUGGUUUUGUUUUACCUCACAAUAGUGGGACCGUGAAAGCAACGAGCGUGAGCGAGAGAAAAUUUCUUUUACCUGUGCGAGAAUACUCUUUUUAGAGAGGUAUAAUUGAGAUCGUGGCAUACUCGUGGACAUAUGUGUCUCGUGUGAGAAAGUGAUAUCCGCUCACUUCUCCACACAAUAUACGACGCGGAAGCAUAGAGUGUAGAGUGUGGUGCGUCUAGAGAGAGAUAUAUCUCACUUUAUGUGCGGUGCGCUCAGUGCCCGCUUUCCACUCGGGACAUGUGUCGUGCCAUGUGUAUUAGAGACUCGCACAACGCGCGGAGAGACGCGGUGUGCAUAGUGCGCUCUCUUGCGCUCUCUCGCUCAGAGACUCUGUGCUCUCGCGCGCUCGUGUGCGGAGAGCGAUAUCAUCUCACUCAGAGGGCGGAUAUACGUAUAUCCACAGAAUCGGGAUAUCGCGCGAGAAGAGCACGUGUGAGAAAAGGACAGCAAAGGACGAGACCGUAAAAGGGCCGCUGUGGCUGGCGUUUCUCAUAGGCUCCGCCCCCGUGACGAAUACACAAAACUCGACGCUCAUGUCAGAGGUGGCAAACCGCGACGAGCAUUACGAGAUCCGGGCGUUCCCCGUGAAAGUCUCCUGGGCUCUCCGUGUUCGACGUGCGUUACGAUCUGUCGCUUUCCUUGGAAGCGGGGCUUCUAGCCAGGUGAGAUUCAGUCGGGAAGCGUUCUCCACUGAGUGGACACCUCGGUACGACGUGCCUUAACGGAUCGCU